rnacentral:rRNA from 1 species
AUUGAACGCUGGCGGAAUGCUUUACACAUGCAAGUCGAGCGGCAGCGCGGGGGCAACCCUGGCGGCGAGCGGCGAACGGGUGAGUAACAUAUCGGAACGUACCCCGUCGUGGGGGAUAACACAGCGAAAGCUGUGCUAAUACCGCAUACGACCUGAGGGUGAAAGCGGGGGAUCGCAAGACCUCGCGCGAUGGGAGCGGCCGAUAUCGGAUUAGCUUGUUGGUGAGGUAAAGGCUCACCAAGGCGACGAUCCGUAGCUGGUCUGAGAGGACGACCAGCCACACUGGAACUGAGACACGGUCCAGACUCCUACGGGAGGCAGCAGUGGGGAAUUUUGGACAAUGGGGGGCAACCCUGAUCCAGCCAUUCCGCGUGAGUGAAGAAGGCCUUCGGUUGGUUAAAGG